rnacentral:rRNA from 1 species
AUUGAACGCUGGCGGCAGGCCUAACACAUGCAAGUCGAACGAGUGGCGGACGGGUGAGUAAUGUCUGGGAAACUGCCCGAUGGAGGGGGAUAACUACUGGAAACGGUAGCUACUACCGCAUACCAUCGGAUGUGCCCAGAUGGGAUUAGCUAGUAGGUGGGGUAACGGCUCACCUAGGCGACGAUCCCUAGCUGGUCUGAGAGGAUGACCAGCCACGCUGGAGCGUGGACACGGUCGAGACUCCUACAGGAGGAAGAAGUGGGGAAUAUUGCACAAGGGGCGGAAGCCUGAUGCAGCCAUGCGGAGUGUAUGAAGAAGGCUUUCGGGUUGUAAAGUACUUUCAGCGAGGAGGCGGUACUCGCAGAAGAAGCACCGGCUAACUCCGUGCCAGCAGCCGCGGUAAUAC